AUUCCUCCGAAGUCAUUGAUAAUCUCACUUUCCCAUCUAGACACCCGCUUUAGUACAUCCUCCAUGUCACGUGCUUCUCUCUCGAUAUUUUCAAACAGAAGUUUGAUCUCUGAAGAUAAAAAAAGGAGGGCAAGGAAUGGAUUCUGGAAAUGGUGGGAACCCAUGGUUCUACAAUUCUUUGCAAGCACCGUCAUGGGAUGUGCAUGAUUAUGAUGAGCUAAACUCAACUGGCCCUUUGUUGCCACUACUACAACAGUACUUGGAUGCAGGGGCAUUGGGUGGAAGCACACAUACCGGAUGUGCAUGGAUGAAUGGUGAGGGAGAGCCUAGCAAGCUAUCACACCCAAGGAACCAGUUGCAGAUACAAGGCUCAUUUACAUGAUCGGGAUUAGUUGACCAGCUGAGAACAUGUGCAACCGCAUUUACGUCAAGUGCCAGGCCUCCGGAUGCACCUAAUGCCACUUGGGGCGCACUAUCUAUUUCGGAGUCGCACGCAUACCAGACUUCUCAAUCGAACUACAAUGUGCAGAAUAUCGUUCGCAAGGCAGGCACGUCGAGAACCAGAAGAAACAACAGUCUUGGUUCUAAUGUGAGCAACACAAGAGCAGACGACUCAAACUCGGAUGCGGAGACAGUUGGUGAACAUGAGGAUGAAGAUGAACAAAAUUAUGAUCAGGGAGAGGAUGAGACACAUGAAUAGGAGUACGAACAAGAUGAUGAUGGGGUAGAGGAUGAGCCGCAUGAGGAUGAGGUGCAAUCUUCACUAGCACCACCAACACCACCUUAUCUACACAUGAAAUUUGCUACAUUUGAAGAUGCAAAGGAGAACUACCGGAGUUAUGCAAAGUUCCAUGGGUUUGCAGUAUACACAGACCAUCGCAAAAAACUAGUAAAAACAGGAGAAUACAAUAGAGCUGAGUUAAGGUGUUUCAAGUCGAGAAAGAAGAAGAAAAAAGGGGGGAAUGGUCCAAUCAUCAGAGAUCGGCGAAGAGACAUCAUGGUCAAAAUGAAUUGCCCUGCCAGAAUGAAGCUGAACGUCGAAGGGGCCUGGUGGGUGGUAACAAAGUACGUGGGAUGUCACAACCAUGAAAUGAUUAAGAAAUUUGACCUGAUUAGGUUUCUGAGUGCUCACGUGGAUUCACGCCAGAGGAGCAGCAGUUUGUGAAGUUGCUCCAUGAUUGCAACCUCCAACCUGGGAGAAUGGUUCACAUUCUAUCAAUGAUACGUAGCAAAACGGGGAAGCUCAGCAGCAUGCCAUAUCUUCCUUCAGAUGUGGUUAACCUGGUGGCAAAGUAUCAUAGGGAAAGUCAACUGACGGACAUGGAGGACACAAUUGCAUACUUUAAGGAAAAAGAGAAAGAAGAUGUUGAUUUCUUCUACAAAAUGAAGCUGGACCGAGAGGACCGCAUGGUGAACUUGUAUUGGAUAGAUAGUGCAACGCGCAGGGCAUACAAGCACUUUCGUGACUGUGUGUCCUUUGAUGCUACCUAUCUGACCAAUAUGUACAAGAUGCCAUGUGCUCCAUUCAUUGGCAUAAACAACCACAGUCAAUCGUUGCAAUUCGGGUGCAGGUUUAUUAGGAACGAGGAUGUUGAUAGUUAUAUUUGGCUCUUCAAAACUUUCAAGGAAUGCAUGGGCGGGCUUGAACCAAUGAACAUCAUAAUAGACCAGGAUUUCGGUAUGCGUGCAGGUAUUGAGGAAGUGUUCCCUAACACAAUACACAGGCACUAUAGGUGGCAUGUUAUUAAGAAAGCAGAAGAAACAUUGGGUCCCUUUUUUGCUGAAAGACCAGAACUGCACAAAGCAUUUGAAUUGUGUGUUGACCACAGUUUGGCACCGGAAGAAUUCGAGCGAAGCUGGAAAGCAAUGAUAGAUAAAUACCAGGUUGAGGACAACAAAACAUUACAAAACCUUUCUGAGAAGAGGAAGUUCUGGGUGCCAGCUUAUUUCAUGUAGUGCUUCUACCCCUUUCUGCAAACUACCCAGCGUAGUGAAGGUUUCAACAUAGUGCUGAAGAGAGCUACAAGCGUUGGCAAACACAGCUCUAAAGAACCCAAGGAUGCUAACGUGUAACCCAUUGGAGAGACAAAUGAUGAGGGUUGAUACCCGACAACUAUUCUACAAGUUCCAGUGGGAGUUAAGGCUGUCAACCAGUUACACCGUGUUUCAAGUCUGCAAUUUCACGUACAAGGUGUGCACCAUGCGGGACAUGUCGAACUCAGAAGCCGAAGACCCAGACAAGGGAAGAGACUACAUUGUGACGGCUUACAUAGCAGAAGGGACGUAUUACUGUUAAUGCUGCAAGUUUGAAAGAGAUGGUGUGAUCUGCUGCCAUAUUCUAAGGGUAAUGGACAUGAAUGGCGUGAAACAGGUGCCACCAAAGUACGUACUUGAGUGUUGGUCUUGGAAUACAGAUGAAGCACUCUGCCCGCAUGGCUCACAGCAAGUACUCACGGAGCAUGAAGAUGGGCCCAACACAACUAUGGAGACAGUCAGGCGUGUGGUGAUGACAAGGAGAUUUACCAACAUAGCAAAUGAUGCUUGCAAAAAUGAUGUGAUGAGUAGAGCAGUUGAGAGGCAUACAAACAUGAUAGGAAGAGAACUGGACUCAAUCAAGAAGAGAAUGGAGGAGGAGGCACUACAUCGAUUCCCCAAAAAAACAAGACUGCUCCUACUACGUCAACAGGGCCAUCGACGGAAAACUCGGAAGUUAGUUCCGGCGCAUCCAACACGCACACGCACAUGGGGAACCCUCCAAGGAAAGUCACUAAAGGGCGUCCAAAACAGAUAAUAUACAAGUCAACACUCGAGAUCCAAGCAAAGCACAAGAAGCCUACAAAGAAGACAGCGGCAGAAGCUUGGGCUACUUAGAAAAGUGAGACAACUAGUAGGUUGUGUGUGUUAAAUUUUUUGGAAUGAUUGGGCGUAUUGUAGUCUGUAGUUGUGUCCGCAGAAAGUUGGUGGCAUUUACCGUUAUGAGUUAGAAACAGCAUUGUCAUAUGGCAAACAUAUGAAAGUUGCCAUGUUGCUACACAAAAUGUAGUUAGUCAACUAUGGGAAAAGAGCAGCAAAAAAGCUUGGGCUUCAUGAAAAGUGAGGCAACUAAAGGGGUGUGCGUGUGGAAAAAUUGGAAUGAUUGUGC
rnacentral:rRNA from 1 species